AGUUAAGUGAGUCUUUGUGUUUGAUA
rnacentral:piRNA from 1 species